GAUGAACGCUGGCGGCGUGCUUAACACAUGCAAGUCGAGCGAGUGAGUUCUUCGGAACGAUCUAGCGGCGGACGGGUGAGUAACACGUGGGCAACCUGCCUCAUAGAGGGGAAUAGCCUCCCGAAAGGGAGAUUAAUACCGCAUAACAUCGUUGAAGGGCAUCCUUCGAUGAUCAAAGGAGCAAUCCGCUAUGAGAUGGGCCCGCGGCGCAUGAGCUAGUUGGUGAGGUAACGGCUCACCAAGGCGACGAUGCGUAGCCGACCUGAGAGGGUGAUCGGCCACAUUGGGACUGAGACACGGCCCAGACCCCUACGGGAGGCAGCAGUGGGGAAUAUUGCACAAUGGGGGAAACCCUGAUGCAGCAACGCCGCGUGAGUGAUGACGGUCUUCGGAUUGUAAAGCUCUGUCUUUGGGGACGAUAAUGACGGUACCCAAGGAGGAAGUCACGGCUAACUACGCGCCAGCCGCCGCAGUAA
rnacentral:rRNA from 1 species